rnacentral:RNase_P_RNA from 1 species
UGAGUUAGUCGGGUGACCGCGGCUGGUGCAAACCAGUCGAGGAAAGUCGGGACUCCACAGGACAGAGUGCUGGCGCGAGCCAGGUGGGGGCGACCUUACGGACAGUGCAACAGAGAGAAACCGCCGAUGGCUGGGUAACCAGAUCAGGUAAGGGUGAAACGGUGCGGUAAGAGCGCACCAGCAUGCCAGGUGACUGACAUGGCUCGGCAAACCCCAUUCGGAGCAAGGUCAAGCAGAGGAGACGGGCGGUCCGUCCAUCC